UGGAGAAUAAGCGACCGGUCAAGGGCUUUCUCCAUUACCGGCUGCAGACUAUACAACAGAAAUUAUUAUUAGGAUAUUAAAGUUUAGAUUUCCACGCGUAAUGUCUUAUUUAAAACGAAGUCAUGCCCUACUGAGUCUUAGUAGGUGUGCUAUGACGCCUAUCAAUUCAAGGAGUACUCGUAAUUGGUCUUCAACUGCAGCACUCCACGCAGGGGGUGACAAACAUUAUAUACCACGCCGUGCUGUCCUGUAUGUCCCCGGAAGUGAUGAAAGGAAGCUGAAGAAAAUUCCUAGCUUGUCUGCUGACUGCAUAGUUAUGGACUGUGAAGAUGGUGUUGCACUCUCGAAGAAGGAAGCAGCAAGAUCCAUGAUUCACCAGGUUUUGCAUUCUCAAGAAAUUGACUUCACUGGCAAAGACUGCUCUGUACGAUUCAAUAGUGUAGACAGUGGUCUUUGUGAGGAUGACAUGAAAGAAAUCUUAGCUGCUGCACACCUUCCCAGCACUGUUCAUCUUCCGAAAGUGGAAUCACCGCAGCAUCUUGAAUGGUUUGCAGAAAAAUUAAAAUCGGUGGUGAAAGUCUCCAACAUUUCUGAGAAAGUACGUCUUAUAAUAUUCACUGAGUCAGCCUCUUCACUUCUGGACCUCCCGGCUAUAUGCCGACGAGGGGUUGAGUUGUCCAAAGAUUCUCCUUUUGAACUUGAUGGAAUAGUGUUUGGAUCGGAUGAUUUCUGCGCUGAUAUAGGUGCUACUCGUACAAAUGAAGCAAAGGAACUGUCUUUUGCAAGGCAGUAUGUUGUGACAGUGGCUAAAGCAUUCAAGUUACAAGCUAUAGAUUUGGUAUAUAUAGACUAUAAAGAUUUAGAUGGAUUGAAAGUACAGAGUGAGGAAGGUGCUGGUAUGGGUUUUACUGGUAAACAGGUGAUCCAUCCAGGCCAGGUUCCUGUAGUUCAAGCUGCAUUUACACCAAGACCAGAAAAAGUAGAAUGGGCAGCUGGCCUUGUCCAAGCCUUUGAAGAACACCAGAAGGAAGGAAAGGGUGCGUUUACUUACAAAGGGCACAUGAUUGAUAUGCCAUUACUUCUUCAAGCUCGUAAUAUCUUACAAAUGGCGUCACGGACGUAGGCAAGAUCAAAUAUCCUUUAAGCAUUGUAUAAUUUUAAGAUAAUUUCUGUGAUCAGGCUGAGUUUUGGACUGACUGCACUAAUGAUGAGAGCCGUGGCAUAUGAGAGUUGCAGCUGUGGCUGACAUAGAUGAUCAAGUAAUUGUGCUGCACAAAACACAACUCUGACUUUGCCUUCUCUAACAGCACAAACUUGGCUUGCUUUUCUUUUUGGAGCUGUUACACAAAGAAAGGGAAUGCCCUAUCAGACAAUUCCCAUAUACUCCAACACCACAGCAACAAGAGAAUUACUUCUCAGUACAAUUAAGUACCAACAGAGACUGCACUAACAACAGAAGCCCUACAAUUUGAUGCUUCCCAUAACUGCCAACACCACAACACCAUGGAACUCUACCAUGAUGAACUUAGUACAUGCACUAUCAACAAAGGCAAUGCUACCAACAGGAAUUGUGCCAUCAAACAUUUCCCAUGCCUGCUCAUUCUACAACACCGAGGAACUUAAGACAGAGCUCUACUGAUGGAGGCUGUCAUUAGUGCAGGAGACUAUGAACCUAAUAUUACAAGCAUAUUCAGUGUUCCUUCAAAGAGGUCAAGUUGCAAUCUUCUGCAUUGUCAAUAUAUCAAUUAUCUUAAUCAUUCAAGUAAUUUCAUCUAUAAUAACUACAUCCUCACUUCUAAUAUUUUUACUUGGAUGGGUCAGAACCUGUUAAAAUACAGCACACAAAAACUGAACAAGAAAAUAAUAAGCAUGAAUGAUAAUCAUACAGCUUAAACUUCACUCUCAUCAGCAUGUAAACUGACAGGAAUCCCACUGUUGUUUACGUAAAUUACACAGCAAUUAUGUUCAAGCUCUGUCUAAAAACUAUGGAAUAAUUUUAAAUUGUAAUAUUACAUGAGGAAUAUUGGAUUGGAUUGGACUGGAUUAUAAAAUUUAGGUCUAAGACCAAGUGCUUGGACCUACGAGGUCAUUCAGCACCAAAAAGGAAACGAACAGUAAGAAGGUCUGAAAGGCGCAACAGGAGGAAAACCUCAAAGUAGUCGCACUGUGAAACAAUUGUUAGAGAGAGUGGAAAGUCAGAUGGAAGAAGAAGAAUAUGUACAGAGGUACAGGAAAAGGAAUGAAAGUGGCUGCAGCCAGGGGCCAAAGGGACGAUGCAAAGAACCUUAAGCAAUGUCUAAAGUGCACCGUGUGAGGUGCACUGACAGCACUACCCCUCUAUGGGGAUGUGGAAUAUCAACACUGCUAUACACAGUUACAGUGUUAUCUCACUGUAAUUGUAUACAUAUAGCAUUGUUGAUAACGAAUAUCAACAAUGCUAUACACAAUUAAAGUGAGAUAACUGCUUCGCAUGGGAUGUAAACACCUGAUUUUCCAGUUUAUAAGGCUCAUGGCUUAUGUUCCAGCAAGGUUACUUCUGGAUACCUGUACCUCUCAAAUUAUAUUUUUAGAAAUGGGAAUACUUUUUACAUUUGCAGUCUUUAUCAAAAAUGCAUUAAGACCUCCUGAC